CUCAAAUAAGUGCAAUGCUUUGCAUUGCUACACUUCACGCUGCAAGCUAUUGUCAAGUGGUUUAAAUGUCAACAGCUGCUACGUGGAGUGGAGCAAGGUCAAAGGUCAUUUCUUCCAGUCAUA
rnacentral:precursor_RNA from 14 species